AUUGAGCGCUGGCGGCAGGCCUAACACAUGCAAGUCGAGCGGAUGAUGGGAGCUUGCUCCUGGAUUCAGCGGCGGACGGGUGAGUAAUGCCUAGGAAUCUGCCUGGUAGUGGGGGACAACGUUUCGAAAGGAACGCUAAUACCGCAUACGUCCUACGGGAGAAAGCAGGGGACAUUCGGGCCUUGCGCUAUCAGAUGAGCCUAGGUCGGAUUAGCCUGUUGGUGAGGUAAUGGCUCACCAAGGCGACGAUCCGUAACUGGUCUGAGAGGAUGAUCAGUCACACUGGAACUGAGACACGGUCCAGACUCCUACGGGAGGCAGCAGUGGGGAAUAUUGGACAAUGGGCGAAAGCCUGAUCCAGCCAUGCCGCGUGUGUGAAGAAGGUCUUCGGAUUGUAAAGCACUUUAAGUUGGGAGGAAGGGUUGUAGAUUAAUACUCUGCAAUUUUGACGUUACCGACAGAAUAAGCACCGGCUAACUCUGUGCCAGCCGCCGCAGUAAAAC
rnacentral:rRNA from 1 species